CUUAAUUAGGUGCAUUUCAUGUUUUAGAGCUGGGGUCCCCAAUCUUAUACAGAAAGGGCCAGUGUGGGUGCACACACCUGAUUUUACUCAUCAAGGUGCUUAGCAAAGGCUCUUGUGGUUGAUUAGUAGAAUCAGGUGUGUGCACCCACACUGGCCCUUUCUGUAUAAGAUUGGGGACCCCAGCUCUAAAACAUGAAAAGUACCUAUUCAGAUGUUUCUCAGAGAUUAGCUCGCUAUUUUAACAUCUAUGGAAUGCAUCUGCAUUCAUUACUUGUUGUAUUUGGGGGAUACUUCUGGCCCAUGCUAAUGACUCACAGGAAGUGUCUGAUGCUGGAUGUACGGCUUGCUUGUUCAGCUCAUUUAUAAUCUCUAGCUUAGGGGGCAGGAACAGUAAUAACUGCUAACUUUACCCAUUUACAAUUUUAUUAUUUGAAAAAAACAAAAAAAUAAAAAAUAAAAUAAAAACUGAAUUAUUGUUCAUUAGGUUCUUGUGAUUGGUCGUUUACAUCGUCACCCUACAGCUAAACUGCAGUUGCAAGUAUACCCCAGCAGAUGGCAGUGUGGAACAGCAAUCCACAGUGAGGAGGCCAUUUUCUCUGAGCUGCAGUGAUUGGCUUUCUUACUGGAUCUGGGAAGGUUUGCCCCAGAGACCCAGUGCUGCUCAUGGUGAUUUAUUUUUAUUCCCACCUUGGACAUACACAGACCAGAUGAUCUGUGUCCCAGCUGCUCAGAGCUGAUCGAUCUCCAUGUGGAGACGGUAUAUGACUCCCCGCCCAUCCUGUCAUUGGUCUGCGGAAGGUUCCGGAGCCUGCUGACGGUGCGAGGCGGGAAAGAGGCGGUCCUCUGCUGGCAUUCAGCCUGUCCGCCCGCACCUGGGGGGGGUGUUGGACGGGUCCCGAGUGAGUGACGCACCGCGGGAACCUGUCACUCACGCGUGAGAACGCACCGGCGACAGCUGAGCUUCUGCUCCAGCAUGGCAGGCCAGCAGGAACAGGAGCCUCUCCCACCCUCAGGCAGCCUGUCUCUCCAGAACACCUCAUCAGAGUCACUGAAAGCUGCACUGGCCGCUGAACCACUGGGAACGCUGCUCCCCUUCCAAGGUGACCUGGAGCACCUGAGCACCUGAGCACCUGGGGCGGAGGUGGACCUGAGGAGACACGUCAUUUAACUUCAGAGGAGUGGAGUCCCAUCGGCGCCUACAGGAUUCAGGCUCGGGGGGGGGGGGGGGGGGCUCCUCCAGGUGAAACGAGGGCGGGGCUCUGAGCUCGUAUUAACGAUCCCUGAACAUGCCUGCAGCAGAACUGCGCUAAUGAGACAUACAUCCCCUAAAACAUCUCCACAUCCAGCCCCACAUCCCCUAAAGCAUCUCCACAUCCAGCCCCACAUCCCCUAAAACAUCUCCACAUCCAGCCCCACAUCCCCUAAAGCAUCUCCACAUCCAGCCCCACAUCCCCUAAAACAUCUCCACAUCCAGCCCCACAUCCCCUAAAACAU